CACCAAGACUGUUCAGCCAUGCAGUAAAAACAAUCAAAUAAAACACACAAAACCACAUCCUUCAGGUUAUGGAUGCUUGCACAAUCUGAUCUAUAUUGAUGAAUUUUCUGCAGGUUCAUUUGUCAUAAAAGAAAAGCCAAAAUAUUAUGGGCAGGAAACACAUGAUCAGUUGUUUAGGAGAGGUCUGCCACUCAUCAUCAAGAUGUCUGGUUGUCUCAGGGACUCCUGAGAAUGAUCUACUGGAAAAGAAGGUCACGCAUUCCCACUGGAGUGAAUGAGAUAAAUGUGAUGCUCACGUGUGAAAUGUGGCAGGAAUUUCACAACAGAGAGAUUUUCUGCCUACCAUGAAAUAAGUGGAAGGAAAACAUAGAUGUGCUCACUGAAAAUUCAUGGCCUGGAGAGCAAAAAGGGCCGGUCCAUAGCCUGGAAAUUUUCAAAGAUAUUCAGUGGGGUUGUAUUGAACCAUCUGUGGCAUGACACCUUCGGGAGCUGCACCCUGAAGAGGAGGAGACAUGGAUUGUCAUCAGCACGUGGAGACUGGGAAAAUUGAAAAACAGAUGAAUAUUUUGGAUUGGGUCCUUGGACUGGAAGUGGUUGUCUGACAUCAAUCUGCAUCACCUGCUGUAUUGUAUGAUGGUAGCUAAGAAUAAAAAUCUCUACUAUUUCCGCCUGAGGAGUGGG
rnacentral:lncRNA from 1 species